GCCCUCGCUGGGGCUGUUAUCGGGUCUCUGGCUGCAAUACUGGUGCUGAUGGGAACCCUGACUUACCUCUUUCUCCGUGCCCGUCAUCGGAAUGGCAGAACUUCUUCUCUGGUUGUACCUACCCCUCAGGUAUAUGAGAAUGAUCCACCAUCUGGACAAACAAAACCUCAAGUUAAGCCCGAAAGCUCCUCCAAGGCCAACAACAUAUAUGAGACCUUGCAGCCCAGAAUCCAGUCUGUCUACGAAGAGAUGAAGAGAUAAGAGUUGGACCCAGCAACUUCCUCUCCACUGCUGAGGCCUCUCCCGGGCUUUCAAGCCUCUUUCCUGUUCGGAUCUCUUCCUUUCAGCUGCAGCCGAGUAACUGUAAGGACCAGGACAUUUUCUCUGCAGGGCCAGGUCCUUCUGGAAAUCCUAGUCCUCGUUCUGAAGAAAAGAGCUAGCCUUGGUCCCCAAGGGACUCUCCUGUUGGGAAAGACUUGCAGAUACUGAGACAGAGACACAAAGGAAGUUUUCCCUGGAAAGGCCAAACAGAAUUGCAUCUCGUGAGACUAAAGGAUUAACGCUGAGCAGGCGAGGAAUCGCCAUGAAAAUUCAUCAACCUUUUUGUGUACACCUCUCCUAAUAAACACAUUUUUGUAUGCAUU